rnacentral:rRNA from 1 species
AAAAACAUAACUAUAUGUGCCCAUAUAUAGCUAUUUCUGCUCAAUGAAUAUUAAAUAGCCGCAGUAAUUUGACUGUGCAAAGGUAGCAUAAUCAAUUGGCUUAUAAUUGAAGUCUGGAAUGAAUGAAUAUACUGGGGAUUAACUGUAUCUGUGUUUUCGCUUAAACUUACUUAUGGAGUGAAAAUUCUCCUAUAUAAAUAAUAGACGAGAAGACCCUAGAAAUUUUUAGGAAUGUGUUAUUUAUUGCUUUUUGUUGGGGCGACAGAGUAGCAGUUAAACCUACUUUAUUGUAUAUGAUUAUACUUAUAGGAAAAAAUAAAUUACUCUAGGGAUAACAGCAUAAUAUUUUAAAGUUUGUGACCUCGAUGUUGGACUAGGAAAUUAUUUACCCAGAAGGUAAUUUAUUGUGCUCUGUUCGAGCGAUAUCUCCUACGUGAUCUGA